ensembl:snRNA U6 U6 spliceosomal RNA
GGGCUGGCUUUGGCAGCACGUAUACUAAAUUUGGACCAACACACAGAUUAGCAUGACCCUUGUGCAAGGAUGUAAAUUCGUGAAGCAUUUCAGUUUUUU